UUAAGGAAUUGACGGGGCCCGCACAAGCGGAGGAACAUGUGGUUAAUUCGAUGAUACGCGAGGAACCUUACCUGGGCUUAAAUGGGGAGUGACAGCUGUCGAAAGAUGGUUUUCUUCGGACACUCUUCAAGGUGCUGCAUGGUUGUCGUCAGCUCGUGCCGUGAGGUGUCGGGUUAAGUCCCAUAACGAGCGCAACCCUUACCGUUAGUUACCAUCAGGUUAAGCUGGGGACUCUAGCGGGACUGCCACCGUAAGGUGAGAGGAAGGUGGGGAUGACGUCAAAUCAGCACGGCCCUUAUGUCCAGGGCUACACACGUGUUACAAUGGCCAGUACAAAGGGCAGCUACCGGGUGACCGGAUGCUAAUCUCUAAAGCUGGUCUCAGUUCGGAUCGAAGUCUGCAACCCGACUUCGUGAAGCUGGAUUCGCUAGUAAUCGCGCAUCAGCCAUGGCGCGGUGAAUACGUUCCCGGGCCUU
rnacentral:rRNA from 1 species